GAAUUUGACAACCCCUGGUUUUAGUACACCAUUGCGCUCUAUUUACGAAGUCCCUUUGUGUUAGCACAAUACUAUCACCGACAUUACAACAAAAGUGACUUGCUCUAGUACAGGGGUAGACAAUCUUGACACUUACUUGC